CAGUAGCCGCGGUAAAACGUAGGGUGCAAGCGUUAAUCGGAAUUACUGGGCGUAAAGCGUGCGCGGGCGGUUAUAUAAGUCAGAUGUGAAAUCCCCGGGCUCAACCUGGGAACUGCAUUUGAGACUGUAUGGCUAGAGUGUGUCAGAGGGGGGUAGAAUUCCACGUGUAGCAGUGAAAUGCGUAGAUAUGUGGAGGAAUACCGAUGGCGAAGGCAGCCCCCUGGGAUAACACUGACGCUCAUGCACGAAAGCGUGGGGAGCAAACAGGAUUAGAUACCCGGGUAGUCCCUGUCUCUUAUAC
rnacentral:rRNA from 1 species